AUGAACGCCACCACAGAGAUGAUGCAAUCGAUCAUAGAUGGCAAAAAACCCUACUGGUUGGAAGAAGCAGGGGUGGCAGAGAGAAGAGGAGAAGAAAAACACACCGUAGCUGGCGUUGAGCCGCUGUCUGUUAUUAUCGAUCUCCUUCCUGUGGUCACGGUGGCUAUGGCAUCGAGGCAGAUAGAAGAUGAGAAGGGGGAGACGGAAGGGGUUCGCUCCAGCUACUCUUUACUUUCGACAAUUUUGCACAUAGCCCACUGUCAAAGCUAUCUCUCGCAGAUGCGGUCCAGCCUUAGCCAGCCAUGUGCGCAGGAUCAGGCCCGGCGAAGCAUUUUUUUGGCCUGA
rnacentral:rRNA from 1 species